AGAGUUUGAUUCUGGCUCAGGAUGAACGCUAGCUACAGGCUUAACACAUGCAAGUCGAGGGGCAGCAUUGGAGUAGCAAUACUCAGAUGGCGACCGGCGCACGGGUGAGUAACACGUAUCCAACCUGCCGCUUACUCGGGGAUAGCCUUUCGAAAGAAAGAUUAAUACCCGAUGGUAUAAAGAGUUCGCAUGUUCUCUUUAUUAAAGAAUUUCGGUAAGCGAUGGGGAUGCGUUCCAUUAGAUAGUUGGCGGGGUAACGGCCCACCAAGUCUACGAUGGAUAGGGGUUCUGAGAGGAAGGUCCCCCACAUUGGAACUGAGACACGGUCCAAACUCCUACGGGAGGCAGCAGUGAGGAAUAUUGGUCAAUGGACGAGAGUCUGAACCAGCCAAAGUAGCGUGAAGGAUGACUGCCCUAUGGGUUGUAAACUUCUUUUAUAAGGGAAUAAAGUGAGGGACGUGUCCCUUUUUGUAUGUACCUUAUGAAUAAGGAUCGGCUAACUCCGUGCCAGCCGCGGC
rnacentral:rRNA from 1 species